UUGAAAAUUACGGGAGAAAAUUGGGAAAGAAAUUUGAAUGAAACUUGAAAAUUACGGCUUGCAAAUAACCAAAACGAAAUGUUUGAUAAAGAAGGAACGAGGUCCUUCAAGUCACUGGAAGAUGUUAAGAACUUUGAAGAAGUUUAUGUGCAGAAAUAUCAUCUUUGGCGAUUGAGAAUAAUUUCCAGAAACAUGCUGGCGUAAUGGCAUUAAUUGCCUAAACAGUAUAUCAUACAACGAUGACACUACAUAAUGUAUUCUCUUUAGCUUGUUUCUGGAGAAUAUUGAUAAACAAUUUAAACCAUAUGAUUGUCAUGUAAAACGGAUCUUUUUGAAAAGUUGCUGGUCAUGACACAUAGUCGAUAUCAUGAAAGAUAUUAUGCGAUGUAUUCAAUAACAAAAUAACCAUGGCUUCAUAAAUGUUAUGUUUUCAAUAUUGUAUAAAUAGUAUGAUCGUUAAACCUUGGAACAGUAUAUACGUUCCUUGUUCAAACCGUAAUAAAAUAAGUUCCCAUAAAAUCAAACAGCUACAGGUCGUCAUAUGGAAUUAAACUCUUAGCAAAAAAGCCAAACUCACUAAUAAGAUAUAUACAAUAAAAUUGAGAAUGGAAAUUGGGAAUGUGUAAAAGAGACAACAACCCGACAAUAGAACAGACUACAGCAAAAUAUCACCAACAGGUCUUCAAUGCAGCGAGAAUUCCAGCACCCGUAGACGUCCUUCAGCUGGCCCCUAAACAAAUAUUUACUAGUUUAGUGAUAAUGAACGCCAUACUAAACUCCGAAUUGUACACAAGAAACUAAAAUUUAAAAUAAAACAAGACUAACAAAGACCAGAGGCUCCUGACUUGGGACAGCUAGGCGCAAAAAUGCAGCGGGGUUAAACAUGUUUAUGAGAUAUCAACCCUCCCCCUAUACAAUGUCUUUACUCUGACUGUUGCAUUUUGAACAAACAAGGGUAAAGUCCAGCGCAAUGUAGAACAAAACAGUUUCAACAUUCAUAUAUCAUUAUCAUGAUCUUGACCUGCAUGGAUAUGCAUUUAACUUGCAACUGGACGAUUAAACACUACGGUUAUUGAUGACUGCAUGAAAAACUUUAACCUCAGACAAAACAUGAAAUUAACUUUUCAGGAAUAACGAAGUCCAUCUAGUAGUAAAAUACGGAAAAAUGAAAAUAAAUAUUUGUUAAAUUUUGCCCUGGAUACUGUUUUUUGGACAUAAAGAAGCUUCUGUCCCAAUUUCCCGAAAUUCCAUUAUUUUUGAAAACGAUUUUGAUGUAAAACAAAACGUUAACCACAGACUGAACCUAAAUGCUGACGACGGAAUCUCUGAUCGCCAAG
rnacentral:lncRNA from 1 species